CUUACAGAAGUAGCUGCUGGGCAGUUGCAAUUUUAGAACAGAGUUCCUUUAUAUACGAAUGCUUUUUUUUUUUAAUGCUUGUUCUAAAGUGGAUCUGAUCUCGUGAGGUAAGGGAGAGACUUGCUUCUGAAGCAGAAAGGGUAGCAAACAGGUAGAUAAGAAAUUAAUGCAGAAGCACACAAUUACAAACUUGCACAACUCCAGCAAGCACGUUCACAAGAGCAUUAUGCUGACAUCAUAAAAACAUUGGCAGAAGGCAUUGUUUGGUCUGAGAGGAAACACAAGUCAGAGAAGUGCCUCAGCAACUCUUGAAUGCAACUGUAUGAGCAACACGACUACUGCGUGCUCAGCGCAGGCGGAAGAAGACUUCUGCUUCACAAUAGUUAAACAAGUCAAGGACGUAAUUCACAUCCUUUUAAGGUUGGAAGUGAAAAACAGACUACAGAAUGACAGGAGAAAGGAAAAUGCUGGUUUUCAUGGCUUCAUCACUGUUGAACAGAGCAGCCUUAGGUUGGGUCAUUUCUUUGUGCCGGAGGACUUUUCAAAGGAUGCUGAAGCUUUCAUACUACACGGCUUACAGUGCAGAUGGAACAGGACGUGUCGUUAUGUUUACUGUGUGUGGCUGUCAGUGCUUAGCAGUAAGGUGUGCUUGGUUAUUAGCAAUGUCUGGUUCCUGUAUCACGAACCCUACGCCUGCAGCUUUUCUCCUGCCUUUGCCUCUCAGCUGUGAAUUACUGCACUGGUGUGUCUGUGCUCAGGACUACCCAGAAGGAAACACACAAGGCCCAUUUCUGGACUUCAUGAGCUACAAUGUUCGGUGCUGCACAGGUGAGCAUGGUGUGGACAGCAGCACAUGGAUGGGCAUGUCAGGGAAGUACCACAGGGAAGAGCACAGCAAUGCCUUCGAUUCCCCCAGGCUCUUCUCAUAACAUCCUAUGCAAAAUGUCUGCAACAUGGGGAUGUUGAGCAUAGCAAAAGCACAAGCACUAGCAUCGCCAGUGGAAACACUUAUCUGGAAAGAAUGUUCUUCAUUGCACCAUUGGGGAAAUUAAAUCAAAUUAAGCCGUUUCAUUUGUUGGGGUAGGAGAUUAUUCCUCAUUGUGCCAGCAAAUUCUUUACUUGCCUCCAUAAGGAAUUCAUCCAAAGUC
ensembl:lncRNA